UACGAAGGGGGCUAGCGUUGCUCGGAAUCACUGGGCGUAAAGCGCACGUAGGCGGAUCUUUAAGUCAGGGGUGAAAUCCUGGAGCUCAACUCCAGAACUGCCUUUGAUACUGAAGGUCUUGAGUUCGGGAGAGGUGAGUGGAACUGCGAGUGUAGAGGUGAAAUUCGUAGAUAUUCGCAAGAACACCAGUGGCGAAGGCGGCUCACUGGCCCGAAACUGACGCUGAGGCACGAAAGCGUGGGGAGCAAACAGG
rnacentral:rRNA from 1 species